AAGUCGUAACAAGGUUUCCGUAGGUGAACCUGCGGAAGGAUCAUUAACACGUAUCCAACGUUAAACCCCCCGUGAACUUUUAUUGCGAACCACGCCUUUGUUAGAAAGUAGCAAUCAGUUUUGAUUCAGGGAUCUCUGCGAAGAGAGCGGUUGUAGCGCGAGGUAAGUGGCCUGGCAUUCCUCUGCUUGUUAGUGUCUGACAGUGUCACUAGCUCUGUACGAAUGGCGCAGUCACGAUCGCUGGAGGCCGACACGGCCGGCGACCGGGUCACCGGGCAUAGACCCCCCUAUCACCUUUGCAUGAAAACGGGCCUGCGCUUAAUUGUGCGGCCACCAAACUCGAACAACUGUUAACAAUGGAUAUCUUGGUUCUC
rnacentral:misc_RNA from 1 species